rnacentral:rRNA from 1 species
GUGAGGAAUAUUGGACAAUGGGCGCAAGCCUGAUCCAGCCAUGCCGUGUGCAGGAAGACGCAUCUAUGGUGUGUAAACUGCUUUUGUACGGGAAGAAACACUCCCUCGUGAGGGAGCUUGACGGUACCGUAAGAAUAAGGAUCGGCUAACUCCGUGCCAGCAGCCGCGGUAAUACGGAGGAUCCAAGCGUUAUCCGGAAUCAUUGGGUUUAAAGGGUCCGUAGGCGGUUUAAUAAGUCAGUGGUGAAAGCCCAUCGCUCAACGAUGGAACGGCCAUUGAUACUGUUAGACUUGAAUUACAAGGAAGUAACUAGAAUAUGUAGUGUAGCGGUGAAAUGCUUAGAUAUUACAUGGAAUACCAAUUGCGAAGGCAGGUUACUACUUGUGGAUUGACGCUGAUGGACGAAAGCGUGGGGAGCGAACAGGAUUAGAUACCCGAGUAGUCC